rnacentral:lncRNA from 1 species
AGCCUGCCCAGUAUAGCACUACAAUAAGCUGAAUUUUAUAAAUUGGGUUUUGAGUUAAGGAAUCAAAAGCUUCAGGCUUAAGUCCCACCUCUGCCCCAGAGUCUUCUGAGCCCUCCAUUUUCACAGACGUCAGUUGCCCUAGGUGGAACUGGACUUUAAUAUUCUCCACAUCCCUUAUUUUUUCCCAAAACAGUUUACCAGCUUUUUCUUUCCUGAACCAGGAGCAAUAGCAAAAAUUGGGAAUGGGAAGAAACAGGUACCAGCCAGGACACCUGAACGAACUUGGAGCUCAGGAACCCAGGAGGGGAUUGGAGAGAGUGGGGAGACUCCAUGGUCCACAAUGAAUGCUCCUUCCCCAUCCGAAAAAAUCCCCUAGCCCAGUUUUUGGGCAGAUGCCAGACUUUUAUUCUGAAGCGUGGGCCACAACCUAUGAGGUAAUCUUUGGAGCUUCAUUCUGAGGCGGAAUCCCAUUGGCCAGUUGGGGAAGCCCCUCCCAGGAUUCCUGGCGCUCCGCCUUCCCUGAAGCCUAUAAAAGCGCAGGUCCCCGCCUCGGCAGCCACGGGACACCUGCAUCUGCCAACAAGACUGGAAGCAGAAAGGGACAGAGACGGCGAAGUUUGACGGUCUGGAAAGCAGAGACCAGCAGGGCUGACUGCUUGGGAGCACGAGGGACAGCUCUCCACCGACCGAAGGAGGAGAAUGCUAUUUAUUUCAGCACCAAAUAUCCGGACAGCGCCUCUCGGGAGGUCCGAGAAGAGAACCGCGAUCUGUUUCAGCACCGGGGCUCAGGACAGUUCCCAGCGGGCUCCGUUUCGUCUCCAGAACCCUGGACAGCUCCUCCAGUAGAGACGGGGUUUCACCAUGUUGGCCAGGCUGGUCUCAAACUCUUGACCUCUUCAUCCGUCCACCUCAGCCUCCCAAAGUGCUAGGAUUACAGGCGUGAGUCACUGCGCCUGGCCCAAGUCCGGAAUUUUCAACAGGACAUGGGUGUUACUGUGCCCAUGUGACAUUUGGGGAACCCAAGGCCCUGAGAAAGGCAGAAAAAUAACCCACGCAGGGACUCUCAGCCCACAAGUGAAGCUGAGAACCGGGAAUGGAAAACAGGGAGGCAGCACAGAGGCAGGAAACUCAGGUGUCAUAGCUUGGCUCAGGUGAGAAGGAGGAGCUGGGCAGGGGUCUCAGACAUGGGGCAGAGGGUGGUGAAGAAGAUUAGAGUGGCUGUGGUCUAGUGCUGUGUGGAAGACUAGUGAUUUUGUUGUUCUGAUGUACUACGACAACAAGUCACAGCCGGCCUCAUAGCGCAGACUCCCUUCGACCUUCGCCUUCAAUGGGCUGGCCAGUGGGGGAGAACCGGGGAGGUCGGGGAAGAAUCGCUUCCACUCGGAGUGGGGGGGCUGGCUCACUCCAGGCGAUACAGGCACAGGCAAAGGAGGGAAGCAAACAAGGACAUACAUCCUGUGCUCAUACAGCCAUGCACCAUGUAUGGGGUUUGUCACAUCACUCGUACGCCCCCACAAGCCUGGAGAUAGAACAUACCUGACUCUAAACCCAAGACCUCUAACCACCUUAUGGCGCUUUCCUGGGAGACCCAAUGAGGGAAUGACAUUUAAAGCCCUCCCUAGACCAG